rnacentral:tmRNA from 1 species
CCUCUGGAAAUGCCACGCGGAACGCGCUAUAUCCUUCAUGUCACCUCGGUGACUAUGGCGAUAAACGGCUCGUGAAAUAAGUGUUGCGGACCCGGGGGCAGUGCCCGGCGUUUCCAUAAUAUGCGUGGUGUGCUCUUUCCCCUCGCGGGGUUUGGGUAUUCGGCGGGAGAGACUGGUUUUCUCGAAGUUGCCCUCGGUCUGUACGGUCGGGGUCUGUUGCGGGAAAGAUCAGGUGUCCCUGCGGUUUGUUCCUGGCCUGAGUGGCCGGAACAUUCGGCAGAAGAGACCGCGGGACUUCGGUCUUGUGUCGCUCUGCGGUGGGAACGAAACAGUCUCGACGCGCGCGGUAAAGACGUGUCUUUUGCCCGGCAUUGUACCACCGUCAUCGGGCUAUAUCACAAGUGCCAAUGAUAACGUUCGCGAGAACGUGGCGCUCGCUGCCUAGAGAUAGGUAAGCGCUGCCCGGGGGGAGCAGGGCAACAGAA